UACGGGGGGAGCAAGCGUUGUUCGGAUUUACUGGGCGUAAAGGGCGCGUAGGCGGCCUGCUAAGUCGAACGUGAAAUCCCUGGGCUCAACCCAGGAACUGCGUCCGAUACUGGUUGGCUUGAAUCCGGGAGAGGGAUGUGGAAUUCCAGGUGUAGCGGUGAAAUGCGUAGAUAUCUGGAGGAACACCGGUGGCGAAGGCGACAUCCUGGACCGGUAUUGACGCUGAGUGAGCGAAAGCCAGGGGAGCAAACGGG
rnacentral:rRNA from 1 species